rnacentral:rRNA from 1 species
UACGGGGGGUGCAAGCGUUAUCCGGAUUCACUGGGUUUAAAGGGUGCGUAGGUGGCUAUAUAAGUCAGUGGUGAAAGCUCGCGGCUCAACCGUGAAAUUGCCAUUGAAACUGCAUAGCUUGAGUACAGUUGAAGUGGGCGGAAUACAUCAUGUAGCGGUGAAAUGCUUAGAUAUGAUGUAGAACACCGAUUGCGAAGGCAGCUCACUAAGCUGUAACUGACACUGAGGCACGAAAGCGUGGGUAGCGAACAGG